GCCCGUGUGGCUCAGUUGGUAGAGUAUGGUGUUUGCAACGCUAGGGUUGUGGGAUCGAUUCCCAGUACGGAGA
rnacentral:tRNA from 1 species